rnacentral:misc_RNA from 1 species
UCUCCGUUGGUGAACCAGCGGAGGGAUCAUUACUGGAAUCGCAAGAUCCCACAACCCUGUGAACCUACCGAAACGUUGCCUCGGCGGGUGCCCGGCCUCCGCGCCGGGCGCUGCGCCCGCCGGCGACCCCCUACUCUGUCUCUGCAGCGUGGCAUCUCAGAGUCCCAGAAAACAAGUCAAAACUUUCAACAACGGAUCUCUUGGCUCUA